UACGUAGGGUGCGAGCGUUGUCCGGAAUUACUGGGCGUAAAGAGCUCGUAGGUGGUUUGUCGCGUUGUCCGUGAAAACUCACAACUCAAUUGUGGGCGUGCGGGCGAUACGGGCAGACUUGAGUACUGCAGGGGAGACUGGAAUUCCUGGUGUAGCGGUGAAAUGCGCAGAUAUCAGGAAGAACACCCGUGGCUAAGGCGGUUCUCUAGUACGGUACUGACGCUGAGACGCGAAAGCGUGGGGAGCGAACAGG
rnacentral:rRNA from 1 species